rnacentral:rRNA from 1 species
UCCAGAGGUCCCAAGCGUUGUUCGGAUUCACUGGGCGUAAAGGGUGCGCAGGUGGUUUGGCAAGUUUGACGUGAAAGCCCCGGGCUUAACCCGGGAAUGGCGUUGAAAACUGCUUGAACUGGAGGGUUGGAGGGGGGACUGGAAUUCUUGGUGUAGCAGUGAAAUGCGUAGAUAUCAAGAGGAACACCAGUGGCGAAGGCGAGUCCCUGGACAAACCCUGACACUGAGGCACGAAAGCCAAGGGAGCAAACAGG